rnacentral:rRNA from 1 species
ACUCCUACGGGAGGCAGCAGUGGGGAAUAUUGCACAAUGGGCGCAAGCCUGAUGCAGCCAUGCCGCGUGUGUGAAGAAGGCCUUCGGUUGUAAAGCACUUUCAGUCGUGAGGAAGGUAGUGUAGUUAAUAGCUGCAUUAUUUGACGUUAGCGACAGAAGAAGCACCGGCUAACUCCGUGCCAGCAGCCGCGGUAAUACGGAGGGUGCGAGCGUUAAUCGGAAUUACUGGGCGUAAAGCGCAUGCAGGUGGUUUGUUAAGUCAGAUGUGAAAGCCCGGGGCUCAACCUCGGAAUUGCAUUUGAAACUGGCAGACUAGAGUACUGUAGAGGGGGUAGAAUUUCAGGUGUAGCGGUGAAAUGCGUAGAGAUCUGAAGGAAUACCGGUGGCGAAGGCGGCCCCCUGGACAGAUACUGACACUCAGAUGCGAAAGCGUGGGGAGCAAACAGGAUUAGAU